UGGCACAUAGUAGGUACUGGCUUUUCCUUCCUCUGUGCCUGGCAACACCAUGAAAUAAAACUCGGCUUUCAUGAGAUUAUAUGGUAGAUGAAGCAACUUUGAAUAUACAUAUAGACUAAUGGAACAAGUUAGAGAGCUCAGAAAUAAUGCUACAUACCUACAGCCAUCUGAUCUUCAACAAAGCUGACAGAAACCAACAAUGGGGAAAGUACUCUCUCUAUUCAAUAAAUGAUGCUGGGAUAACUGGCUAGCCAUAUAAGGGAGAUUGAAACUGGGCCCUUUCCUUAUACCACAUACAAAAAUUAAAAGCAGUUUGAUCCUUUUGGUAUUCGUAUAUAAGAUUUGUUAGGCAGAAACAGGACAGUGAUCAUUACAGAGAUAAUUAUUUUUCUCUACGGAGACAAGACCUUUCUCAGCACUCUUCCAAAUGACCCAUGAAUUUUUCCAAUCUUGCUGAUGGGUUUUAUUUUUAGCUUUAUUUCAUUGAAUCAGGAAUGUUAAUUUUAAAAAUAUUUUGAAAUUCAUAAUGUUCUGUGCAACUCAUAACAAAUUAUCAUUUGAAGGUAAAUCAGUCCUUUGCUCAUUGUUCACACUGCCAAAACACCUAAGCAUAAAUCUAUGUAUUUAAUAAGAAUAAUCAGCAACCACAGGAGCAGCAAGCACUAGAGAAAGAUAAACAUC
rnacentral:lncRNA from 1 species